GCCUCUCCUUCGUCUCCGGCCACGCGCUGCAUGACUACUCCGGUGCCGCAGAUUCAACCCACCCAACUGUUUGAGGAGAGUGAUUGGAGGAGUCGAGGCAACGGGACGAUUGCGAUGGCACCAGUCGAGGAGAAUGGAUCGGGAGCGAGGGGAAAGCACGAGAUCGGCCAGAAGCCCAGAACCGCCGCUGCGCUCCUGCCUCUCCCGUAUCUCCCUCCCUCUCUCUCUCUCUCUUCCACGGCAAGCGGAAGGCACGGGAUGGGAGGCAUCCCAAUCCUCUAGACCCUUACGGCACCCGCAGAGGAUCAUGUGUGGGCACCUGCGGCUCUCCGGAGUUACUCACGCGACGCGGUGAGUGCUAUUUUGGUUGCUGGAGAUGCUGUGCGUGUGGGGAUGGAAGUGAUCUUGUGGUUCUGUCAUCAGCGAAUCUAAUGGCCCAAAUCAUACUGUAUUGACGCAUUUUCUAUUCCUCAAGGGGUCGUCGUCCUCCUGCUGCUGAUUGGAUUUUGCUUCUUCCUUCUGUUCCCUUCCUCUGGUUGUUGAUGCCUCAAGCAACCACUGCCGAUUGUGUGCUCAUCGGAUAUCCUUAGUUGUUCCUUCAUAGCCUCCCAUUGAGUUUAUUCCGUUUCUUCCUCUGCUUGUACGACCGCGCGUUCCCACUCCAGCAGCUCGGCCUUCCUGCCUCCGACCGCGUCUGAAGAGGAGCUCUAGCUAUGCCACGAGCAGGCCAUCCCAGCAGCUGCCGCCGCCCCUCUGUCCUCUCUCUCAGCUUUUUCCUUUUUCUUCUCUCUGUCAAUAAUCUUUGUUUUCUAUGGGGAAGGAAGUCGCCAUGGAACCAUCCCCGCCGCCUUCGGCCCACCACCUCUCCGUCGGCCUCGACCUCCUCCGCCUCGAUCCGUCCGCCCCGCCGCCGGAUCCACGCCGGAGCAGCCGUGUCCGCCGCCCAGACCACCAAUCAAGAGUCACCUCUUGCCUGUCCUGCGGUCGGGAGGAGGACGACCGAGAGGAGCACCCAUUCAUCCGCCGCAUGGGCUGCCUUGGAGCUCGCCUUGCCUUCGGGCCGCCACCUCUCCGUCUGCCUCGUGCUCCUCCGCCCCGAUCCAUCCGCCCCACCGCCGGAUCCGCCGCCCAGACCACCAACCAAGUGCCGCCUCUUGCCUGUCCUGCGACGUGGUCGAAUAAUAAAACUGCAGGGUCCUUUUUUGUAAGAAUGAAUCGUUUUUUCGGAUUAGCCAUUUUAAAAUAGGACCGCGGGUU
rnacentral:rRNA from 1 species